UGCAAGUCGAACGGUAACAGGUCUUCGGAUGCUGACGAGUGGCGAACGGGUGAGUAAUACAUCGGAACGUGCCUGGUAGUGGGGGAUAACUACUCGAAAGAGUAGCUAAUACCGCAUGAGAUCUACGGAUGAAAGCAGGGGACCUUCGGGCCUUGUGCUACCAGAGCGGCUGAUGGCAGAUUAGGUAGUUGGUGGGGUAAAGGCUUACCAAGCCUGCGAUCUGUAGCUGGUCUGAGAGGACGACCAGCCACACUGGGACUGAGACACGGCCCAGACUCCUACGGGAGGCAGCAGUGGGGAAUUUUGGACAAUGGGCGAAAGCCUGAUCCAGCAAUGCCGCGUGCAGGAUGAAGGCCCUCGGGUUGUAAACUGCUUUUGUACGGAACGAAAAGCCUGGGGCCAAUACCCCCGGGUCAUGACGGUACCGUAAGAAUAAGCACCGGCUAACUACGUGCCAGCAGCCGCGGUAAUACGUAGGGUGCAAGCGUUAAUCGGAAUUACUGGGCGUAAAGCGUGCGCAGGCGGUUUUGUAAGACAGUGGUGAAAUCCCCGGGCUCAACCUGGGAACUGCCAUUGUGAC
rnacentral:rRNA from 1 species